AAAGCAUUGAUGGAUAAAAAGUAAAAUAGUAGUUUAUUUUGAUUGGGUAUUUUAUUAAUAAAUCUGUUUUAUAUAUGUGUGGCUAUAAAGUAAAUUGCACAAAAGAAUAACCUUCAUUCAUAACCUCUACCAACAGACCCCAAAAAAUAUUUGUUAAAUUUUCUAUUUCUAUAUAAUUGGCCCUUAAAUCACAUGGAUAGGAAUAUAUGGCCAUUGGUUAGUAUUAUUAAAACCGUCU